rnacentral:lncRNA from 1 species
CUUCCAUCUGUUUCUUCUAAUGUACAUCAUUGCCUGUCAUGCCUCUUCUUUUUAUAUACAACAUUAGAUAUCAGGAAAAAAUGUUUAGUUUUUAUUGGGGUAUAGUUGACUUACAAUAUCACUAAUUAUUAUAGUAGUGAAAAAUGUUUUAAAACUGAAGUUUUAUCAUCAAAAAGAGAAGGGGGAAAAAAGAACUAGAAAGAAAUAGUGUAGAAUGUUAAAGCUUUGUUCCCAGAACUUACUGACCUUACUUCUGUCCCAACCUUCUGCUGGUGAACCUGGGCUGUCCUAAAACCACUGUUAGAACCUUGGAGACUUUGAUGUCAAAGAAGUCAAGGGAUCAAGUCAUUUCAAGAGAAUGUGACAUAGUUUUCAUCGGGGAAGUUCUGUUGAAAAAAAUGCAUGUUGAUGCAACCUAGAAAAAUAGUAAGAUUUCCUUCAAUCAACCCAACAGAAAAGGUAAAGACUCUCCAUGAUAAUGUCACUGUCAUUCUUCUCCUCACUUGUGCUUUAAAAAUCAAUCACAUUGAAGCAACUGGAAUGAAAGUUCUCUAGGUGUAUUCCAAGUUCUAAGCAUCUCCUGGGAACUAGUUAGACUUGCUAAUUCUUGUGGCUGCCCGAGAGAGGGAGGCGGGGGCCGGGUGGAGGGAGAGGGGGGAGGACUGGGCCUAGCAAUCUACGUUUUUAAAAGUUCUCAAAGAGGGUAUGAUGAAUGUUAAAAUUUGAAAACUGCCAAACUCAAUGUAACUCUUGUUAAGAAUCCAUCCAGAUUCUUGGAAUUCUCUUGCAGACCCAUGGAGUGGGAAUCUCUGGUUUGCAUUUUAACAGGCUCCUAGAUGACUGUUAUGCUUGUUCAUAUUUGAAAGUCACUACUUUAGAGUUGGUGCUUCUCUUUCAUCCCACCACCCCAUCCAACCUAUAAGACCUUUGCCAAAUCCUAUAAACUUUACACUUGCAAAAAUUUCCAAACCUAAUGCUAAUUAUCAGAAAAACCUAAGAUUUUUAUAAAAUUCCCAGGCCCUGCUCCAGAAUUAUANNNNNNNNNNNNNNNNNNNNNNNNNNNNNNNNNNNNNNNNNNNNNNNNNNNNNNNNNNNNNNNAUACUAUCUGUCCAUCUGGGAACAUGGUGAAGAAUUUACUCUUAUAUUCUUAAAUUUGAUGUAGCUACUCACUAGUAGACAUUUCGGCCUCACUAUUAGAAUUUACUCCCUUGUUCUAUUUGAAUAUACUUUAAUUUGGACUUUAUAAAGUCCUCAUUAUGAAAACAAUCACAAAUAGUAUCCAAAUUAAAAUUAUGCAACUCUGAUCAUUUUAUUCUCCCACUCAAAAUUUUUUACUGUAUUACAUACAAAUUACUCAGCUUGACAUUCAAGACCCUCUGCUAAUCUUCUUACUAAUUCAUAUCUCAGUUAAUUUAGCUC